GACGAACGCUGGCGGCGUGCCUAAUACAUGCAAGUCGAGCGAACAGAGAAGGAGCUUGCUCCUUCGACGUUAGCGGCGGACGGGUGAGUAACACGUGGGCAACCUACCUUAUAGUUUGGGAUAACUCCGGGAAACCGGGGCUAAUACCGAAUAAUCUGUUUCACCUCAUGGUGAAACACUGAAAGACGGUUUCGGCUGUCGCUAUAGGAUGGGCCCGCGGCGCAUUAGCUAGUUGGUGAGGUAACGGCUCACCAAGGCGACGAUACGUAGCCGACCUGAGAGGGUGAUCGGCCACACUGGGACUGAGACACGGCCCAGACUCCUACGGGAGGCAGCAGUAGGGAAUCUUCCACAAUGGGCGAAAGCCUGAUGGAGCAACGCCGCGUGAGUGAAGAAGGAUUUCGGUUCGUAAAACUCUGUUGUAAGGGAAGAACAAGUACAGUAGUAACUGGCUGUACCUUGACGGUACCUUAUUAGAAAGCCACGGCUAACUACGUGCCAGCCGCCGCCGUAAUAC
rnacentral:rRNA from 1 species